GGGGGGGGGGGGGGGGGGGGGGGGGGGGGGGGGGGCGGGGGGGGGGGGCCGGCGUGGGUGGGGGGCGCGGGUGGCGGACGGGUGGGGCACGCGGGGGUAGCCUGCCCUGGGCUUUGGGGUAACUUCAGGAAGCUGGGGCUAAUACCGGAUAGGAGCUCCUGCUGCAUGGUGGGGGUUGGAAAGGUUCGGCGGUUGGGGAUGGACUCGCGGCUUCUCAGCCUGUUGGUGGGGUAGUGGCUUACCAAGGCUUUGACGGGUAGCCGGCCUGAGAGGGUGACCGGCCACAUUGGGACUGAGAUACGGCCCAGACUCCUACGGGAGGCAGCAGUGGGGAAUAUUGCACAAUGGGCGGAAGCCUGAUGCAGCAACGCCGCGUGCGGGAUGACGGCCUUCGGGUUGUAAACCGCUUUCGCCUGUGACGAAGCGUGAGUGACGGUAAUGGGUAAAGAAGCACCGGCUAACUACGUG
rnacentral:rRNA from 1 species